GAUGAACGCUGGCUACAGGCUUAACACAUGCAGGUCGAGGGGAAACGACGGGGAAGCUUGCUUCCCCGGGCGUCGACCGGCGCACGGGUGAGUAACGCGUAUCCAACCUGCCUCUGACUGAGGGAUAACCCGUCGAAAGUCGGCCUAAUACCUCAUGGCAUCGUCUGCGGGCAUCCAACGACGAUUAAAGAUUUCAUCGGUUAGGGAUGGGGAUGCGUCUGAUUAGCUUGUUGGCGGGGUAACGGCCCACCAAGGCUACGAUCAGUAGGGGUUCUGAGAGGAAGGUCCCCCACAUUGGAACUGAGACACGGUCCAAACUCCUACGGGAGGCAGCAGUGAGGAAUAUUGGUCAAUGGGCGGGAGCCUGAACCAGCCAAGUAGCGUGCAGGAGGACGGCCCUAUGGGUUGUAAACUGCUUUUAUGCGGGGAUAAAGUGAGGGACGUGUCCUUCAUUGCAGGUACCGCAUGAAUAAGGACCGGCUAAUUCCGUG
rnacentral:rRNA from 1 species